rnacentral:rRNA from 1 species
GAUGAACGCUGGCGGCGUGCCUAAUACAUGCAAGUCGAGCGGACGGACGAGAAGCUUGCUUCUCUGAUGUUAGCGGCGGACGGGUGAGUAACACGUGGAUAACCUACCUCUCUUACUGGGAUAACUUCGGGAAACCGUAUCUAAUACCGUAUAAUAUUUUGAACCGCAUGGUUCAAAAGUGAAAGACGGUUUUGCUGUCACUUAUAGCUUGAUCCGCGCUGCAUUAGCUAGUUGGUAAGGUAACGGCCUACCAAGGCGACGAUGCAUAGCCGACCUGAGAGGGGGAACCGGCACACUGGAAGUGAGACACGGCCCAGACUCCUACGGGAGGCAGCAGUAGGGAAUCGUGGGCAAUGGGCGGAAGCCUGACGGAGGAACGCCGCGUGGGUGAAGAAGGGCUUCGGGUCGGAAAACCCUUUUAUUGGGGAAGAACAUAUGCGUAAGUAACUGUGCACGUCUUGACGGUACCUAAAGAGAAAGCACCGGCUAACUACGUG